GGGGAGGCGGCGGCGGAGUGGCGGCGGCUGCCCUCAGAGCCCCGGACCCAGCGGGGCUGCCUCACGAACCCUGCUCGUUACAUCUCUUGUUCAGAGCUGUUAAGAUUUGAUAGUGACUGGAAUGAUGACCAGGAUGGGUGUCAGUGGUGGAUGACAGACUGCAGAACACAACAGGAGAAGGAGGACUUGUAGUAGGAGAUUUUUCAGAAAACGAAGGAAUCUGUUGAAAGCUGUGGAAUUUCCAUUGGACAGCAUGAGCACUGAAGGCUCAGAACUACCACAGUUAUGUCUUCAAAUCAGGGCUGGAGUACACAGUCAGCAGCUCUGGAAAAGAAGGUGAACCUCUGCAGCAGGAGCCACAACAUGUGUGUGUGGUGACUUAUGGAAGACAGA